rnacentral:rRNA from 1 species
CCUACGGGGAGCUGCAGUGAGGAAUAUUGGUCAAUGGACGAGAGUCUGAACCAGCCAAGUAGCGUGAAGGAUGACUGCCCUAUGGGUUGUAAACUUCUUUUAUAUGGGAAUAAAACGUUCCACGUGUGGGAUUUUGUAUGUACCAUAUGAAUAAGGAUCGGCUAACUCCGUGCCAGCAGCCGCGGUAAUACGGAGGAUCCGAGCGUUAUCCGGAUUUAUUGGGUUUAAAGGGAGCGUAGGUGGAUUGUUAAGUCAGUUGUGAAAGUUUGCGGCUCAACCGUAAAAUUGCAGUUGAAACUGGCAGUCUUGAGUACAGUAGAGGUGGGCGGAAUUCGUGGUGUAGCGGUGAAAUGCUUAGAUAUCACGAAGAACUCCGAUUGCGAAGGCAGUUCACUGGACUGCAACUGACACUGAGGCUCGAAAGUGUGGGUAUCAAACAGGAUUAGAUACCCUGGUAGUC